ACCAUUAACAAAAAAAUGGGCCUUGUACUGACCCGGGGGUGCAGGCCUGAUAGGAGGUGCAAUCCGGGAAAGAUCCGCUUCUUCUUUGGUCCAAACCGGAUGCAAGCGUUGAAAUUCAACCUUACGCACACGAAGGUGACAGGCAAACGCGACUUCGACUCAGAGCUUGGCGGUGUGUUGCGAUCCGUCCUUCAUCUCAUGAGUUCAUCUUCUUCAACGACGGAUCAAAACAAAACUCAGAUAAUCAGCGUCGCGAAAUCAAUCUCGACCGUUCGAUUUGAUUAGCCUGCAAACGCACGAAAAUGAAUGCGAAAUCGAAAGAAAGGAUCGCUGGAUUGAAGCUCGAUUGAGGACAGGUGUCUGGAUUCUAACAAGUAUAUCUUCUUCUUCUAACACUCCUGGCAACGAAUCGGACUUUCGUCACGAACAGGCGGAGUUUGUUGUGAAUUGGAAAUGGAGGUUUGAUGAAGGUGAUUGUGAAUUGAAAAACGGUUACGGUUACGGUGGUUGAAGGUUUUGGUUGAAGAAUUGGAAGAGAGUUUUUGAUGAAGGUGAUUGUGAAUUGAAAAACGGUUACGGUUACUGUGGUUGAAGGUUUUGGUUGUAGAAGAUUAGGUGAUGGAGGAGGGAGUUUUGUGAAGGUGGUUGAUGAAUGGAGGUUGAAGAAGGAGAAGCUGGAAGCGGUUGAAGAUUGAUUUAUAUAGGUUUUUGUAUUGGCUUGUGUAUUAGCUGCGUUUUGCUUGCGGUUUACCGGCUUGGCUCGCUUGUGGCUUGAGUUCUUGGAAUUGCAGCACCGCUUGUUUUGCUGAGCUGCAUUUUACUUCUUGGCUCAGGCUGUAUCGUAGCCUUCGUUCACUAUUCAUACCGUUUUGAUUUUCUCUUCUAUGUUGCAGCCCCGUUUUACUACUUGGUUGCCUUUUUUGCAUUUGGAAUUUGGUCAAGUACUGAUGCCAAUCUACUUUGGUAUGCUGGUGUUUUGUCUGUUAUGCUGCUAUUGUCAUGUAGCAGUACUUCCCAUGGCCUUCUCAUUUUCAUACAUGGCAUUGGUCUCGGAGAUUAUAAAUUGGAUAUGCAACAUUGAUUAUUAUUUGAAUAUGAAAUGGAUUAGAAAAGUGGGUAACGUGA